GGUAUCGCCAAGCGGUAAGGCAACGGACUCUGACUCCGUCAGUCGCAGGUUCGAAUCCUGCUACC
rnacentral:tRNA from 1 species